CUGACGGAGCAACGCCGCGUGAGGGAGGAAGGCCUGUGGGUUGUAAACCUCUUUUCUCAGGGAAGAAGUUCUGACGGUACCUGAGGAAUCAGCAUCGGCUAACUCCGUGCCAGCAGCCGCGGUAAGACGGAGGAUGCAAGCGUUAUCCCGGAAUUAUUGGGCGUAAAGCGUCCGUAGGCGGCCUAUAAAGUCUGCUGUCAAAGCCCACAGCUCAACUGUGGAUCGGCAGUGGAAACUAUGAGGCUUGAGAGUGGUAGGGGUAGAGGGAAUUCCUAGUGUAGCGGUGAAAUGCGUAGAUAUUAGGAAGAACACCAGUGGCGAAGGCGCUCUACUGGGCCAUUACUGACGGCUGAUGGACGAAAGCUAGGGGAGCGAAAGGGAUUAGAUACCCCUGUAGU
rnacentral:rRNA from 1 species